GCCCUAAACGGAGUAUACACAGUAUGUGUCCGGGCCUUAAAAGGUGAAGAAUAUUUAGACAGAUGAAGAGCAUUCCAGGUGGAAAGAACCACAUAAGCAGACAUUGGAAAGCAGGGUUUCUUCAAACACCUUUGUGAUUCAGCUGGGUGAAUCAGGAGCCAGACAGCAAGAGAGGUGAUACCAGAAGCAGAGGUCCUGCAGGAGUCAAAGGGGAGA